GAAAAGAACGUUAGUGGACAAGACUUCAAGUCCUGCUGAACGAUUGAUUGUUUUCUCAAACCAGUGCUGAUCAGAGGAGCGAGGAAAGGACUCUCUCUCUAAGAUGAGUCUCUCAGAGAAACACAGUGUAAGAUCAGGAUCACAUGUGUCCAGCUCUGUGUCUCUGAAGAGUGACCGGUCAAAAGAUGGUGUAGGACCAAACUUCAGUGGGGAAAAACCAUCAUCUAAUAAAAG